GACAGGUGCUGCAUGGCUGUCGUCAGCUCGUGUUGUGAAAUGUUGGGUUAAGUCUCGCAACGAGCGCAACCCCUAUCUUUAGUUGCCAGCAUUAAGUUGGGCACUCUAGAGAGACUGCCCGGGUUAACCGGGAGGAAGGUGGGGAUGACGUCAAGUCCUCAUGGCCCUUAUGCCUAGGGCUACACACGUAAUACAAUGGUACAUACAGAGGGACGCGAGCUAGUGAUAGUUAGCAAAUCUCAAAAAGUGUAUCUCAGUCCGGAUUGGAGUCUGCAACUCGACUCCAUGAAGUUGGAAUCGCUAGUA
rnacentral:rRNA from 1 species